GGUUAUAAUUAAUUACGCAUAUGAGCAUGAGCUCUCAUUAGAAAAGUGUUGGUGGUUAGUACAUUGAUAAGAGUUCAAUGGAUUAUUUGCCAUAUGCUUAGCAAGAGCAGACUAAACGUAUGUCCCUCAAGAAUAUGUCAGGAUUUGGGGAGCAAUUCCCAUGUUGAAUAAAGUUUCUGACAAUAAUUAGUUGGGACAUAGGAAAUACAUGGGGUUUUGAUUUUGGUUCAUUAUGUUAGCAAUCAUAAGGCACAGAUUGGGAAGGAGAAACCUAGUCAAGAUGUGUUUUUAGUAAUGUUGGCAACCUUAUGAACAUAUUGUCAACAUUUCCUUGGAAAUAAUGAAAAGGGACUAAAAUCAGUCUUGGAGUUACAUACAGAGGAUGAUAUUGAAGCUGUUAUGAGAUUUCCAUCAGCAUUAAGUUAUAUCUUCAUCCUCAAUUCCGCUAAUAAAAUCCGGUUCUAUUAUAUGGAGAAACAUCAUUAAUU
rnacentral:lncRNA from 1 species